rnacentral:rRNA from 1 species
CCUACGGGAGGCAGCAGUGGGGAAUUUUGCGCAAUGCUCGUAAGAGUGACGCAGCGACGCCGCAUGAAUGACGCAGGCCUUCGGGUCGUACAGUUCUUUCGACAGGGAAGAAAAUGCCUAUAAGUAACUGUGUAUGUAUUGACGGUACCUGUAUAAGCAGCCACGGCUAACUCCGUGCCAGCAGCCGCGGUAAUACGGAGGGGGCGAGCGUUGUUCGGAGUGACUGGACGUAAAGAUCACGUAGGCGGUGUUGUACGUCAUUAGUCAAAGACUAGAGCUCAACUUUAGUAAGGCUAGUGAUACUAUAAUACUAGAGUAUCAGAGAGGAGUGCAGAAUUCCUGGUGUAGCGGUGAAAUGCGGAGAUAUCAGGAGGAAUACCGUUAGCGAAGGCGGCAAUCUGGCUGGAAACUGACGCUGAUGUGCGAAAGCGUGGGUAGCAAACAGGAGUAGAUACCCUAGUAGUC